CUGAGGGCUGUUUGCCAGAGACACUCCCAUCAGCUGGGAAAAUAAGUCUUUCACUCCCGAUUGGGGACCUAGGUGGCACAACACAGUUUCCACCAUGGGUGUCACGUUGCUCUUAAUGACAGAGGCUGAGUCAGACAUCAGGUAUCUAUCUUCCCCACUACACUGAGCUCAAGCAAAAAGAUGAAGACAGUACACCAGUGAUUAAGGGAAUAAUGGAGAAGAGAUAUAAACCCAGGAAUAACUGGAGAGACUGGGCUCCUGAUAACCAAAU
rnacentral:lncRNA from 13 species